rnacentral:tRNA from 2 species
CAAGGAAUAGUUUAAGUAGAAUAUCAGCUUUGGGUGUUGAUGGUGGGGCUUCAGCCUUUUCCUUGA